rnacentral:lncRNA from 1 species
AUGUUUUUGGCCUACAACUCCCAGAAAUCCCAGCCAGUUUACCAGCUCUUAGAAAGCCAAAAACAUCUGGGGACCCACAGGUUGAGAACCACUGGGUUAAGCAAAACAGCUGGUAAUCUGGCUGGGAUUUCUGGAAGUUGUAGGCCAAAAACUUUUGGCAACCCCAGAUUGAGAACCACUGAUCUAGGUGUCUUAGCAGACCACAAGUUGAACAUGAGUCAACAGUGUGAUAUGGCAUCCAUCCACCCUAACUUUCAAACUUGGUCCCAUAUAGUGUGGACACUCUGUUCAGUACUUAGACCUCUUUGCUCAAGAGCUGUAGUAAGGAACCCUGAAAUGCAGUUCCAAUGCCGUGCUCUGCCUCAUGCCCUGGGUAUUAAGUCUGAACUACAGUUGUCUAGUGGAGAAUAUUCAGUAGAAAACCAAAACUCUCAGGAUUUCUCAAGAUAAAGACAAUGGCAGUUGAAAUAAUAUCAAACUGGUGUAACUCUGCAUUGUGGACACACAUAAUAAUAAUAAUAAUAAUAAUAAUAAUAAUAAUAAUAAUAAUAAUAAUAACAACAACUGAUGAAAAACAACAGGAAAAACUCAGCCGCUAUCAGGACCUCAAGACUGAACUUCAAAGACUCUGGCAGAAACCAGUGCAGGUGAUGGGCACACUGGAUGCCGUGCCAAAAGAUCUCAGCCGGCAUUUGGAAACAAUAGACAUUGACAAAAUUACCAUCUGCCAACUGCAAAAGGCCACCCUACUGGGAUCUGCGCGCAUCAUCCGAAAAUACAUCACAGUUCUAGACACUUGGGAAGUGUUUGACUUGUGAUUUUGUGAUACGAAAUCCAGCAUAUCUAUCUUGUUUGCUGUGUCAUACAAUAAAAUAACAAUAACAAUAACAAUAAUAAUAAUAAUAAUAAUAAUAAUAAUAAUAAUAAUAAUAAUAAUUUAUUUCUAGACUGCCCUCUCUCCCCAGAGGGACUCAGGGCGGUUAACAUACAUAUAAACUGCAAACAUUCAAUGCCACAACUACACUUAAUAUGAAAAGCACAGGUGUCUAUUACAUGCAAUAUACAGUCUCCGGAACCUACGAUGGAACUUGUUCCGCCAUAAACUAAAUUGAAUUUGGGACAUUAUAAAAGACGUCCAUAGGACUGGAUACUAUUAGAGACUGUUUACGCUCAAAUCCGGUUUAAAUCCUAUAUGAAUUUAGAGAUUUGUUUGUUUACUUUUAUGUUACUUUUAUGUUGUGAUAUAUAAAGGUUGGUGUAAUAUAAGCAUUGUGACUUACAACUAGAUUGUACUAAAUACCAUACCUGUUUUGUAUACACUUAAUAUCAAAAGUAUAAAAUGAUGACAAUAUACUCAUUAUAAUAAAAAUUCCAAAUUAGAAAAAUAAUAAAUUUAAACAUGACACUCAGUAAAAACAUUAUUGCAAAGAGAGAGCGUAUACCUGGAGUACACUUCAACUAUUUUUAUGAGAUAUGAAGAACUAAAAGAUAUAUACAAAAAAAGGUAAAGGUUUCCCCUGACGUUAAGUCCAGUCAUGUCUGACUCUGGGGGUUGGUGCUCAUCUCCAUUUCUAAGCCGAAGAGCCAGCGUUGUCCAUAGACACCUCCAAGGUCAUGUGGCCGGCAUGACUGCAUGGAGCGCCAUUACUUUCCCACCGGAGCGGUACCUAUUGAUCUACUCACAUUGGCAUGUUUUCGAACUGCUAGGUUGGCAGAAGCUGGAGCAACAGCGGGCGCUCACUCCGCUCCCGGGAUUUGAACCUGGGACCUUUCGGUCUGCAAAUUCAGCAGCUCAGUAUAUAUUAAAUAUAUAUAUAUUA